GUUCCAAAAACCCCACAUGGCCAGAGAUCCCUCCAUGUCAGCUGGUUGGAGGCAGGGGACCCUGGAGAGGACAUUAAGGAAGACUUAGAAGUUGGCGAAGGAACCUGGUCCUAAAAAGCAGGAUCGUGUCCUAUUGAGAGAGAUCCAUCCAAGUGGACUCCAGGAAGGGCCUUAGAAGUGGAACCAUGGAAAACAAGACCAAAGGGUGUCUUCAGUGGCCAUCUGGAGGAGGCUUUGUCCAGAACAAUGUAACAAUGACUCUGAUGAUCAAAGGUGUCAAAGACUCCACUCCAGCUGUCUAAUGAGAGAAAGAUUUACCAUUUGGAUUCUGCCACACCCAGAAGAAACAGACCCAUCACAAGGGCCUUUUCCUGUGACUCACGUCUUCUCCCUACUCUGUUCCACCCUGAUAUGACUUAUCCGGAUUACUGAGUUGUUUUGACAUCUCUUAAGUGCUGUGCUCAAGAGAUAAAGACGAGGCUGUCAUCCCUGUGCAAUGAAUGACUGGUGGGCUUUGGACAAGAAAAGUAAUGACUUGGUCCCUUUGUUAAUGUAUCUGGUCGAUGCGGUAUGGUGAUUGUUUGGGUAGAGUGGAUGUAAGGGGAACUGAGUUAACGAAUGUGAAAUGCUCUUAAAAGUUUCUGUACAACUCAGUAAAAGUUUG